UCCAGCAGCCGCGGUAAUACGUUCCCGGGUCUUGUACACACCGCCCGUCACACCACGAGAGUUUACAACACCCGAAGCCGGUGGGGUAACCCGCAAGGGAGCUAGCCGUCGAAGGUGGGGUAGAUGAUUGGGGUGAAGUCGUAACAAGGUAGCCGUAUCGGAAGGUGCGGCUGGAUCACCUCCUUUCUAAGGAAAUACCCGAUCACGAGGAUGAUCGGAUAAAUUGUGCGGAUAAAGGCGCGUUAAGCGCUAGACGUGAAGACCAUUUGUUCAGCUUUGAUGGAAUUUGCUUGGGGCCAUAGCUCAGCUGGGAGAGCGCCUGCCUUGCAAGCAGGAGGUCAGCGGUUCGAUCCCGCUUGGCUCCACCAACAAUUUCUCAUCAAUUGCACCUUGAAAACUGGGUAACGAAAGAAAAGAAUUGCUGAAACAUCCUUUAGCAACCAUGAUUUAUGCGAGUGAAGGUUGUUCGAGAUUGCAGCGACUUUACAGUCUUUAUUUCUACCUCUAACGGGGUUAUUGUUCAAGAAAUCAAGCUGUAACGGCGAGGCAAGCCGAAUCAACCGGAACGUUAGGUUAAGCUAUUAAGAGCGCACGGAGGAUACCUAGGCACACAGAGA
rnacentral:misc_RNA from 1 species